rnacentral:lncRNA from 1 species
GUUUGCAAUCAGGUUUUCAUUGGUGCGGAGAGUAGUGAUCCCCCUUNGAGGCUCCCAAAUUAAAAGAAACAGAAAAAGGCCUGGAAAACUUUUCAAAUAUAUCUUUAUAUACAACAGAAGCAUCACCCUCCACACACUUAAAGGCUCCUUCCGGCAUAUUCUGCAAUCAACACUAUUGCUUACCUCCUUUUUAGAGUCACAACUGUUUCUUUGAGAACAACAACAGAAAGGCUGCAUCCAGAUGGCCACUGGAAGGGGCAAGAUCCAGGACAGAAGAUGGGGGAAUCCAACAAGGAGGUGGCAG